rnacentral:lncRNA from 1 species
AUCUUCUGACUGUACAUUUUCUACACCCUUCUAUCACCUCAUUUAUAAGUAAGUUUUGUGAUGCCAACUCCGAACUGAAACAUACCUUAUCAGUUGUCUCACUACAACCAAUUCCUCACCACAUAGGGCGUGUAAGAAUGCCUCACCAUCAUCCACCAGGACAACCACCGCCUCCUGAUCCUUUUGCUCCUCCACCACCAGGACCACCUCCUCCUGAUCCUUUUGCUCCUCCACCACCAGGUCCGCCACCACCAAGACCACCGCCUCCUGAUCCUUUUGCUCCUCCACCACCACCGGGACCUCGUUCUCCACCUCCACCAGGGCCUCCUCCACAGCCAGGGCCACAUGGUCCUCCCCCGCCACCUUAAUAUCAUCUCACAGGCUCACCUCAAACAGUAUACUAGUUACAGUAUUAUUAGCAUUAUGUAUAAGAAAUAAAGUGCAUGUGUCCAUGUAAGCUUCACGAAUUAUCUAUAUGUACACACAGUAGGAUUAAUGCCUACCUUAUUUAAUUAAUUUAAAGGGUUAAUUGCACUUUACACUCCAAGGCUUUGGAGGUCAUUUGCACAAUAAGCCACUAAAUUUCAAUUUUUGCAUUUUACACCAUGUGAUUUCUUUAGGGGUGUAACAUCUACACACUCCUUUUUACUUCUCCCACAGCUUUUUAGUUUUCGGUCGUCGGAUCGGAUGAAUUGAAGAAGAUCAACGGAUAUAAAUUAACAAGGUGUAUGAGAAGUAAAAAGGAGUGUGUGGAUUGCACACCCCUUUCUGUAUUACACUAAUUUAACCUCUUUAUCAAUUUUACUAUCUAAUUAAACGUUAGGUGUUGAUGUGGCAUAGACUUUCCCCACAUUUUAAGGACUCAUUGACCAUCAAUUUCAGUGUGUAGUACUUUACUCUUCUAUUGUUUCAAUUCUUUUAUAAAACUAAGAGUCAACAAGUCUUUAAAAUGUGAGCCCAAUAUAUACCACAUCAACUCAUAACGCCUAACUAGAAUCUGAUUUCUUUAUGAUUACCAUUCUAAUCCGAAAGCAAAUACUACAAUUAACACAAAACGAAAAUAACGGGUUUCACAUCAGCAAGAUAACUAAUCGGGUUGUUAUCUGAUCAUCCGUUAAGACCCGUUAUUAAUGGGUUCUUAACUGUUUCCACGCAGGUAACCCGUAUUCACCUCUUAAGAAAAAAGUUAGUUUGAUAAUUUUAAACUACUGAAAAAACCUUACUAGCUACUACAAUAGCUAUAGUACUAAAUCUCACAUGAGUAAGAUUAAAAAUUUCCAAUACACGUUAAAAAUACCAAAGCACAUUAAAAAUUUCAUCAAAAUUCAUUUACAAGUGUGCAAAAUGUGAAAAACAAAAAAAACAAAAAAAUCUGCAAACGCUUGUAAUCGCAUCAUGGUCAUUUGAUUUUUUCAAAACCCUACAAGCCCUCAUGAAUAGUGUUUUAAGUGAGUUCAAAAUAAAUAAAAAUUCAUAAUAAUUAAUGUAGAAGUUGAAAAACUGUGAAAAAAAUAUAUAAACACUUGUGCUUGCAUCAUCUACACUUUGACAAUGGUUGCAUCAUCAUUUAGAUUAUUAAAACCCUCAUGAAAUAAUUUUUUUUUUUGUUUGAGUGCAAAAAUAGUAAUGACAAGCUUUACAAUUUUCGUGAAGGAGUUAACUGUAAUACCCCGUAUUUAAAAAAAAAUUGGUUAUAUAUGUGUGUGUGUGUGUGUGUGUGUGUGGGUAAUUAUUUUUACGUAAUGAUUUUAUUAGAUUUAUUUUAUGCAAGAACCUACUGUCGAUAUGUGAAAUAGUUUCAAUGUAAAAUCCUUUUUGCUACAAAUUAUUUCAAAAACUAGCUUUCAUGUUCAUAUGUAAUUAGAGAUUUUUUAGUUUGAAUUGGAGAAGGGAAAUUAAAUGAGUUUGGUUUGAUUUUCCUCACAAAGGGCCAAGAGUUUGAGGUUGGAAUAAGUGAGUCAUUUUGUCUUGAUAUUUUCUCUCAAAGAUGAGGUGGAGAGCUUCUAACAUUAAGUGUUAAUGUUUUGGUGAUUACUCACCAUUCUAAAUGUGAAGGUGGAAGUCUACUUAAGGGUGAGUUGGCAAGUUUGUAUUCAUUAGGAAUCUAAGAGUUAAAUGUUUGGUAAUGAUUCAUCCCUCCAAAAUUGGAGAGGUGGGAUUCAUAUCCCUUAGACUUUGGACGUGGCUUUUGAGUGUUUGUUCACCUUGCAUGAUAUUAAUUAGCUUCACAUUUGUUGUUUUUUCCAUUGGACCACAUUUCAUUGCUAAGGAUUAGGACAACAUUUGUUGCCUUGUGAUUAGAACACAUUUCAUGGUGAUGAUUAGGUUAACAAUUGGUGUGUUUCUAUUAGAACACAUUUUAAGUUUAAUGAUUGGCACAACACUUGCUUUCUUUCUAUUGGCACACAUGUGAAGAUUCUUUGGAGAGGAAGAUGUCAUGCAAUCUCUAUAAAGGAAUGAGCACUCACCAAACGGAUGACAUGGAGAAAAAAGAGAGAGGAAGGAGAAGAAGAAAAAAGAAAAAGAAAGAACCACUUCAACAAGAAAACAAUUCUCCCCUUCCUAUUACCUUCUUAUAUUUAUUUAAAACGUUCUUAGGGCUUUAAGCCAUCUUUCAUUGUAUUUGUAAGUCCCUCAUAUGUAUAGUGAAAUACAAUGAAAUCAAACCCCAGUGGAUUUAGUCGAUUUGGCGAACCACUUAAAUCUUGUGUUGUUUAUGCAUUUACAUUUGGAGAUCAUUGCCAUGAGAAGCACUUCCACCAAACUAUCGCCAAUCUCUAUUUAUCUCCCUUGAGGAUGAUGUACAAAAAGUGUGAGACAAAUCCCAGAGAAAUACAUGAGACCUUACCCAACAAAUCUCCACCAAACUCCAUCUAUCAAAAGAAAGAUAUCCAAAAACUAGAAAUUCGUCCGGCCUAUGUAGUAGACCAAAACACCAUCAUCCAUAGAUUAUAUCAUAGUACUUCCUUCAUGAGAGUUGUUCGUCUGUCUCUCUACCAUGAUAUCCAAAUUUUAGAAAAAUCCAACGGUGCGAUCGUCCAAUAUGUUUGAAAUACCAACUCAUGUCUCUAAUCCCGCAGAAAAUUGGACAGCCAUGUUAUGAGCACUAAAAUUCCAUUUUGAAGAGCUCCGAUCAAAAUACUUCCUUCACAAAAGCUGUUCCUUAUCAUCUCAUCUAUAACAUAUCUAAAAACCACGAUAAUCCAAUCUAUGUGCUGACUUGUAUCCCAGUUUGAACAGCUGAUGUUCAGUUGAGCUAGCCUUCUUUGCCAACCUUUUUGCAUGGCCAACAUCUCUAGUUUCUUUUGCUCACUUUCAUGAAAGUUUUUCAGCAAUCUAACUCCUAAUACAUAUGUAGAGUUUCAACUAUAUUAAAGAAGAGGAAGGGGAAGUGGUGAAGGAAGAAAGAGAGCAAGAGAGAGGAAAUGAAAUUGAAACAAUAAAAAAAUGAGGAAAUGGUAACAUAUUGCUUAUCAUUUACAUUAAAGAUUAAUUUGUUAAUAUUAUGAUUAUACUACUCUUGUCACUAAUCAAUUUGAUUUAUAUUGAAGCUUAUAGGCUUGUUAAAGAAAAUGUGAGUAUUGAUAUCUAUGUGAACAUGACAUAUACAUAUGCAUUCCAAAGCAAGAAAAAGAGUUGUGUUGAGUUUGUAAAGUGUUUGCGUUGUGAGGAUAUUCAAGGGCUGAAGCUUUCCUUGAAUAUAAAAUAAUGAACCUUGUCUAUGUCAGGCAUAGGGUGCAGGGCUUAAGUAUACAAAUUGGUUGAUUAUAAAAAUAAUGAAAUCUUGUAUAUGUCAGGCGUAGGGUGCAAGGCUUGAAUAUACAAUUGGGCGUCGAAGGAAGUGCCCGUAUAAUAAAGUGGAAACUGAGAGUUUAAUUACAAAAACUGGGUGUAAGGGACGAAUGGGAGUUAACUCAUAUUCUAACGUACUCAGAGCCAAAUGGUAUAAGCAUGGUAAGGGACAUGCAGGCUUGGGUGCCUUAGGUAUGUGUUGACGGGAUUACAAGGGAGUGAGUACAUUCAUGCAUCUCAUUGCAUACCUUUUAUGUUUUUGCAAGAGCUACUCAUUUCAAUUAUUAUUUUAGUUGGUACUUUUGUAUAUUAAUAUUUUAUUUCCGCUACGUAUGUCAUAAAUUUUAUGUAAGAUUUUGUUAUCUAAUGUAUGUAAAAUCGUUAUAAUUUCAUUUUAGUUUCCACCAUACCUUGGUUGUAGAAUUUAUUUCUAUAACUAAGAUAUGGCUCACACCCUAACUCGUGAAUAGUCUUUAUUCGCGGGUUGGGGCGUGACAUUAACUCCGAAAUCCAACACCAUAAUCCAUAAACCCUAGAUUUAUAUUUUAACUGUUGAUUGUGAUUUAUGCUCUAUUCUUUUCACCCUAUUUCAUUUUUCAAUUUUUCUUUUUUGAAAACAUGAUUUAGCGGAUGCAAAAAAAUGAACUGUUUGGAUUGUUAUUAUUACAUAAACACAGAAAAUACGACACAAAUGACGGAUCUACAAUUAAUCAUCGUGAUGACAUGUCAACUUUACUAAGUACGUACACGUGUGAAAAAAUCUAGGGGUGGGCGCGGGUUGGUCAAAAUUGCAAACCAAAACCGACCAAGCUAGGACUAAAACCGAUCAAAUAACCAAAUGUGGCGGGUUGGUUUGAAUUGGUUCUCGGUUUCUAUGAAGACAAAAAUACAUAAUAAACUUCUCUUCCAAAAGCUACAUAACAUAGCACCUCAGUGAUUACUUAAGGGAAAACACAAAUUAAGCAACCCAAUAAUAGCACCAAGGCAACAACUAAGCUUUUCCAGCGAUUGAUACCAUGUAAAGCAACAAAGAUUGUUGCAAUAAUGUAUAACUAUGAGAGAUUUUAGAGAGAGAAAGUAGUAGACUUGAGGAAGAAGAAAGAAUCUUGUAUUAAGAUAAUGAUCUUACAGAGAGUACAUUUAGCUAUAUAUUGUAAUGCCUUAUAGACUAAGCUCUCCAAAUGGUGUCCAUGUUCUUCUCGAAAGGGACUCUUAAACUAAUCAGGUUUUGUUUUCAUGUGGUGGAAACAUGGUAACUCGUAAAUAACUAACCAUUUAUAUUAUCACACGUAUUAAUUAUGAUUAAAAAAUAAAAUUAAUAUAUGCGGGUCGGUUUGGUUAACUGCAGCCUAAGAAUUUUGAGAACCAAUUGCCAAACCGAUUAAGGUCGGUGCGGUUUGGUUUAACCACCGAAAAUUAAAAAAAAAAACAAACCAAACCGUCAAUGCUGUUUGGGCGGUCAAUCGAUUGUUUUACUAUUUUUUAUUAAAUGCCCAGCCCUAGAAAAAUCUAAGUGAAAGGAACAAUGAAACAAGAAAUUUUUACGGGUGGCGGGAACACACACCUCAGCAGUGCAGGUGGUGUUUCCUUCCAAUCCAAUAACGCCAUCUACCCCACUAAAGGUAAAUUGUUUUAUCUUUUAUAGAAUAAUCAAUAAGUGAAUUUUUUAUUUUUUAAAAAAAUAACUCAAGGCCCUUCCCCAACCUUCUAAUCAUUCCCCUCCAAUUCCUCUCAGCCCCCGACAUCCACCAUCACCGCCCGGUGUUUUGGCCCACCGUAUCGUCGUCCCCUUAUCAUCCCACCUUUCUCCUGAUGAUCAAGAACCGGCGUCUUCAAAUCAUGAUGAAGAAGCAACAUGAUAGAAGAAGAUGAUGGUGUCAAAUUGAGAUUUUAGUUGUGUGAUGGAGGCUGGAGCUUUCAUGGGUGUUCAUGGUGGUGGGCGUGACGUGGUUGUCAAGUGGAGGGCAGAAAUUUUGGUUCAGGUGCUGGUGACCCUUUAGUCGGAAAGAGAUGGAAGAGAGGAAGGCACCGGUACUAUGUUAAUUAAAUAUUAAGUUUUUUAAUGGGAACUUUAACGAAAAGCACCCGGUACUGUUCACUUUAACGAAAAACCACAUUUUUACAUUAAAAAGUCAAUCCUGGUACUAUUCACUUUACCCUUUAUUUUGUCCUUAUCAUUAAAACUCAAAGUUUUCAAGCCCUUUUCAUUAGUUUUCCUUUUUUUAAUUGCUUUAAAGGUGGGCUAGACUAUUGGUGUAAAUUUCAUCUUAAAUUCACAAAUAUCAAGACCUGAUUGGUGAAACUCCAAGUCAGCAAGAGUUCCCGUCACCCGUAAAAAUUUCUCCAAUGGAACAUAACCGAAACGCGUUUUCUGGCUACCAGUCUUCCAACUACCAGUCUUAUAUGCCUGUCUAGAAACUUCUUUGUAGCGAAUUAACAAACCGACUGUAUAUCUUUAUAAAACUGUCCAUUUCUCUCUAGUCAAUUAUCUUCGCUUGAUUUUACCAAAAAAAAAAAAAAAUUAUCUUCGCUUGCAACCAAAAUUUCAAGAGAAAAUGGCAUUCCGUAGGGAUCCGCCAGGACCACCACCACCCGACCCAUUUGCACCACCACCUCCCCCUCCUCCUCCUCCUCAUCAUGGGCAUCCACCAGGUCCACCACCUCCACCGCCGCCUCGGGAAUUCUUUCCUCCACCUCCACCUCCCCAUCUGGAAUUCCAUCCUCCACCCCCACCACCAAUCCACCACCACCCACCUGGUCCUCCACCCCCACCGUAUUACCCACCAGGCCCUCCGCCAC